ACACAGCUAGGUUACAAUGCUGCCGCCCAUCCCAUGUGUUCCCUAUCAAGGGUUAAUAAGUAUAUAUGGGUGUAUAUAAAAAAUACCCCUUUCUGUCUCAUUAGAGAUAUCUUUGCCAGAGGCUCAAGGAAGCGGGGUGAAGGGUCAGAGUAGGACCCAUCUAGGGGGGUCUGCCUUAACGUUGGCAGGCGGGCAUUCCCUCCAGUGGCCAUUGGAGUAACUAAAUGACCUCCAUUUCUUUAAAUAUACAUAGGGAUUAAGGAGAGAGCGCAGGUAACCUUUUUUUCCCCUGCUUAGAAAUACCCACUGGGAUAGGCCACCUGGUGGGUCUCCUUAGUGUGCUGGCCGCGGGUUGCGUCGGUGGACCCAUAAGGGAGAAAAAUAAUUGAGGGCAGCGGGGGCCCAUAAGGCAGCUGCUUCGGGCCCCCAAAGAGUAACUGGGCCCAGGGCAGUUGCCCAGCUUACCACGCGUUAAAGACGGCCCUGACAAUGGUUGUGAGCAAAUGUUUACGUAUAGCUCUGAAAUUCU